GUCGGGCUCAGGCCUCACCCGGCCGCUGAAAGAUAAGGGGAAGGGUACUCUCUGCAGGCACUGUUGUGGCUGUUCUAACUUUAGAUGUUCUCAAAUGGUCCUGUUUGCCCAUAGUUUUAUUGGAUGAGAGUCAUGAUUUCUGAUCGGACAUGGCUUCAAAGAGUGUUCAGCAUCUAAUAUGGAUUCACCUGCUGUUUUUCUUCUACUUCUUCACCUCGAAUCUCGAGGGGGUCCCACAUGGCUGUCCCAGCCCCACGAAGCUGGAGUCUGAGAGGUGGG